UUGGUUAGCGGCGGACGGGUGAGUAACACGUGGGCAACCUGCCUGUAAGACUGGGAUAACUUCGGGAAACCGGAGCUAAUACCGGAUAAUUCUUUUCCUCUCAUGAGGAAAAGCUGAAAGUCGGUUUCGGCUGACACUUACAGAUGGGCCCGCGGCGCAUUAGCUAGUUGGUGAGGUAACGGCUCACCAAGGCGACGAUGCGUAACCGACCUGAGAGGGUGAUCGGCCACACUGGGACUGAAACACGGCCCAGACUCCUACGGGAGGCAGCAGUAGGGAAUCUUCCACAAUGGACGAAAGUCUGAUGGARCAACGCCGCGUGAGCGAUGAAGGCCUUCGGGUCGUAAAGCUCUGUUGUUAGGGAAGAACAAGUAUCGGAAUAACUGCCGGUACCUUGACGGUACCUAACCAGAAAGCCACGGCUAACUACGUGCCAGCAGCCGCGGUAAUACGUAGGUGGCAAGCGUUGUCCGGAAUUAUUGGGCGUAAAGCGCGCGCAGGCGGUCCUUUAAGUCUGAUGUGAAAGCCCACGGCUCAACCGUGGAAGGUCAUUGGAAACUGGGGGACUUGAGUGCAGAAGAAGAAAGCGGAAUUCCACGUGUAGCGGUGAAAUGCGUAGAGAUGUGGAGGAACACCAGUGGCGAAGGCGGCUUUCUGGUCUGUAACUGACGCUGAAGCGCGAAAGCGUGGGGAGCAAACAGGAUUAGAUACCCUGGUAGUCCACGCCGUAAACGAUGAGUG
rnacentral:rRNA from 1 species